CGUGUAGGCGGUGUAGUAAGUCGGAUGUGAAAUCUCCGGGCUCAACCGAGGAACUGCCUGCGAAACUGCAUUGCUUGAGUCCGGGAGGGGGGAGCGGAAUUCCAAGUGUAGCGGUGAAAUGCGUAGAUACUUGGAGGAACACCGGUGGCGAAGGCGGCUCCCUGGACCGGUACUGACACUGAGGUGCGAAAGCGUGGGUAGCAAACAGGAUUAGAUACCCUGGUAGUCC
rnacentral:rRNA from 1 species